CGACCGGCGCACGGGUGCGUAACGCGUAUGCAACCUACCUUUAACAGGGGGAUAACACUGAGAAAUUGGUACUAAUACCCCAUAAUAUCAUAGAAGGCAUCUUUUAUGGUUGAAAAUUCCGAUGGUUAGAGAUGGGCAUGCGUUGUGUUAGCUAGUUGGUGGGGUAACGGCUCACCAAGGCGACGAUACAUAGGGGGACUGAGAGGUUAACCCCCCACACUGGUACUGAGACACGGACCAG
rnacentral:rRNA from 1 species